GAGGGGGUGCUAGCGUUAUUCGGAAUUAUUGGGCGUAAAGGGUGCGUAGACGGCAUGUUAAGUUGGUUGUUAAAUCCUUCGGGCUUAACCGGGAGGGCUUGCGAUCAAAACUGGCAAGCUAGAGGAUGGAAGAGAGAAGUGGAAUUCUCGGAGUAGCGGUAAAAUGCGUAGAUCUCGAGAGGAACACCAAUGGCGAAGGCAGCUUCUUGGUCCAUUCCUGACGUUGAGGCACGAAAGCGUGGGUAGCAAACAGGAUUAGAUACCCUGGUAGUCCACGCCGUAAACGAUAAUCACUUGAUGUUAGUCCUGUUUACAGGAUUAGUAUCGAAGCUAACGCGUUAAGUGAUUCGCCUGGGAACUACGAUCGCAAAGAUUAA
rnacentral:rRNA from 1 species